AUGAAUAUAUACUUUUUUACUUGACUCUUUUUUUUAUACAUUUUUAUGAAAAAUCGAAAAAAAAAAAUAUUUAGUUGAACUAGUUGACCUGAUAAUUAUAAGUACGUGCAUAAAGAUUUAUAUACAUAUAUAAUUGUAUGUAUUAGCAAUGUUUUUUCAAAAUACUUUUUUUAUUUUUUCAAAAUAAAAAUAUGUUAAGAGACAUACAUUAUGUUAUGAAAAACAGGCAAACUUUCCUAUAUAUAAAUAUAUAUGAAACAAAAAAAUAACAAUGUUUUACUAAAGCCUAAGACAAAUAAUAUUGAAUUUAUAUAACUAUGUGAACAAUUUGGCUAUAAAGAAAUGGGUUUAUAUUUAGCAACGUUAUAUGUAAACUGUCCUUAAUUGUUAGAUGUUAGAUCGUUGCUGUAUCAAAAAACAUAGCUUAUUUAAUGUACGAAAAUUAAUAUCAUUAAAAGCUAUUAUGACGAAUGUUACAGUAAAAAAAUGAAACAUUAAAUGAGUGUAUACUGUGCAACUGUUAUACAUAAGGCAUACAAUAUUAUUAAAUGAAAAAUGAAAAUUUAGUUUGAACUCUUUCUCAUUUGUACUCUAUGUUGACUCCAAUUUUUUGUGAUAUAAUUUAAUAUUUUUUCAUUAAUAUUAAAAUUAUCUAUUGAUAUUUUAUCAUUGCAUUUGCAUUCCAAUAGAUAUAUCUCACUCAUCAGUAUUUUCACAAGGAUAUAUAUAUAUAUAUAUAUAUAUAUAUAUGUUGCGAAGAGCAUAUUUAUUUGUGAAUGUUGUAUCCUAUGCUUAAGUACAUAGAUAUGUGUAAUAUGAAUGUCAUUAUCUACUUGAUUUCAAAUUAAUUAAAUCAUUUGGUUGAGCAUUAGAAAUACAAUUUACUAUAUACAAAAAGUGUGAAUGCAAUAUUCAAAUGCUCUUCCACAGAUCUUUUUAUACACGACUUUUAUAUUGUGAAGAUGAUAAAAAGAACUUUUACCAAGCCUGUGCUCUUACAUCUGUGUAUUUGUAUCCUGUAUGAGUAGAAUUGUACAUGAUAAUAUGAUAUUACGAUAAUACGUGCACGAUACGUAUUAUCUAUGACCAAGAAAUUUCUGGUAUUAUAUACUUCGUUGAGUUCAGAUGUGUUAUUAACGAUAGUAAACUCUAUUCUGAAUUUUAUGUACAAGAAACUAAUCUAAUCUGUAAAAACAUAGAGAUUCCUCGAUACUCUAUAAAUCUUUAACGAAAUUCAUACAAAGAGCAAUCAAUUACAUUUUACUUUAUUGUAAAGAAUCAUAUUUAACUGAGCUAAUAAAAAUUAUGUACCUUAUUAUUACGAAUAUCGAGGAAUUAUCAAUGAAAUACUACGAACAUGUUGAAAAAACUGCUAUGAAACUUUUACUGAUGUACAACUUUUACAAGAAAUAAACAACCAAUUUCAUAUA